AGGAACUCGCCCCUGCUGCUGACACCUUGGUUUUAGACUUCUAGGCUCCAGAAUUGCUACAGAAGUACAGAAGGUAUCACUAUGUUGCCCAAGCUAGACUGGAUGUCCUGGCCUCAAAUCACCCUCCUGUCUCAGCCACCUGAGUAGCUGGGAUUACAAGUACACACCAGUGUGCCUGGCUAUCAUGAUGUUUUCUUAAUUCUAUUUUUAUCAUUUUUUAGCAGAGUAAAUAUUUGAUACACUAUGAGAACAGCCAGGGUAAAUAAACUUAAUGGUAAGAAAAUAAAAACUUUGAGAGCCUGCAUAUAGGUAUCUAUAUCUUAAGUAAGUUUGUGUCUCUGUGGCUGUUUGGGCUAUAACUGUAUUGUUGCUUCUGCUUGUCUGUUUAAUUUAUGAAUUAUCCUGCCGCUUUCCUCUCCUGCCUUCCCAUCUCCCUCCAGUUGCCUGUGUUGGGGGAGUUUAUCCCCGGGCUCUUUAGCACAUCCAGAUACACUGGCCUGAGGAAAGACAAAGAAUGGUUCCAGAUGGAUACCUGUGGCUGCUUUGUCGUUAGGGGUGAUGAAGUGUUGAGUAGGAGAGGAGCAGAGGGCCGCAGUGAGGUUCUGAUGUUUUGCCCUGUAUCUGUGUCCCUGGAUGGUGAGACACUAUUGCUGAGGUAUAGUUGCCUUUCAAUCUAGCCCCGGGGAAGCAGAUGCCAGAGAGUAAUGAG
rnacentral:lncRNA from 1 species